CUGAGACCCAACCCAAAUACACCAGCUCCGUCCCCACAUCCCCUCCGCCGUCGCCCUCUCGCGCCACCCCCCGUCUCUGCCGCCGGCGGUGAUUGUGUCCUCGUCCUCGUGCUGCCCAUCCCCCAUUCCUUCUGUCGCCGGUGAACUUGCCGUCAUCCUCUUGCUCCCCCCUCUGCUCCUGUCACCGCCGUCCUUGCACACCGCUGUGCGGCCCGUGGCCCCCACCCCCACCCCCCUUCCAUCCCUGCCACCACCGGGGGGUCGCGGCUGCCAAUAGCUCCGACGCCGACCUCCGUCCGUCCGCCUCCCUAACCCCCGCGGCCCCGCCCUCGACCACAUCCCCCGACCGCGAGAUCCACAUCCCCGGCCCCUGCUUCGGCCGCCGCCACCCCUUUUCUCUCCUGCAAAGCCCCUUCUCCAGAUCUAUCAGCCACAGGCCCGUUUCGUUGGUGGGCAGCCGGUGGCCUUCGAGGGGAGUUCCCCAUCAUGUGCUACGUGCUACACGCCUGGUCGCUGGUCGUCCUCACAAUAGCUAUCGGUUCGGUGUUUACCCCCUCAUUCAUGUACGCAGGCCAGAGGAAGCGUUCUUUGCUAGGUAUAAGGGCCGAUGAUGGCAUCCGCAAUUUAUCUUCUUUCCAGUUGUUCUUCCAAACACGAGCAAGACCCUGUGUCUCUCAUAGAUCGAACUGCUAGUUUGCUGCAACCUGUGAGCUGUAUUGUUGGUAUCUACGUUGGAGUGAUUGAACAUGUUGUUAGUCUGAACCUAAACUCAUCCCUACUUUACUUAGUUAGUCAGUCCCUUUGUUUAAGAUUAAGUUGUAGCAUUACAAAGGUUACUUGUUGGAUCUGUGGUACUACUGAGAAAGUGCACAAUCCAACCUUAUUUUAUUUUAGUUUCUAAUUUGUUGGUCAGAUCUAUGGCUAUUGGGAUGGGUUACUUUAAAUUUCUGAAUUAUAACCUUGCAAGUUUCUGAAAUCUCGGUCUGGAUCGCAUUUGUAACCAGCUAUACAGAUGAUACUGCUAGAAUUAGUAAUAAAUCUAGAGUACCACUUUUUUCAUAGCCCUUAGAUAAAAUGCAUAGAUUAUGGUGGACAGAUUAGUAGCCCUUGGAUAAAGUGUUCUGAUUGGAAAUAACCUGAACCCGCCUUCUGCACAUGCGCUGCCAGUACGUAUGUAGCGGUAAAAAUCUCCCCCGGCCGUGUGCUAUGUCGCUUGAGGCUCGACCAGUUCCUCUGCUUAAGCGACACCACCCAAGAUCCUAGUAAAUCGAUCUUGCUCUACUAAUCUGUCUACCAUAAUAUAUGAAUUUAUCAUCAGCGUCCGUCAUGCGUCUCUUGCGAGGAAAAAAGAACAGAUCGAUGGUGUGUGGGAAAGGAUGACAUGCAAGCGCUUGCGCACAACAGGCCUGACUGGCUGAAGCUAGCUUGAUUGGUGCAUUCCAAGCAAGGCUGCUGUGUUGUGUUUCACAUCUGGGCAUGAAUGUGUGCAUCUCUAUCUUCUUUUAUUAACCGGUAACAAAGGUUUGUGCACAUGUAGUUGUAGCAUUACUAUGACAGUCAUUGACGUGCGUGAAAGCAAGGUAAUCAACCACCUAGUACGCAUGGAUAUGGUGACUUUGGAGUGUUAUGGAGCAUUUGGUUGUCUGCAGUAUUUUGGACCAGCCACCUUAAUUGUAAUCAUGAAACUUAUGUGUGUUCUGGACCAUUUGGUGUUGAAGUGUUAUGGAGUAGAAAUCUUGUGCUCAUGGACGUGACUUAAGUGUUUGCACCAUUUAGUGUUUGAACUCUUUUAGACCAGCAAAUAGGGGUCCUUUUAAGUGACUUGUGUUUUCUGGAUGUUUGCCAAGAUGGCCAAACUUUGCUUUGUCAAGAUUGACUUGAGUUUGAACGUGUGAUCAACAUAUAUGUAUGUUUCUGACCAUAUUAUCAAUGAUUUUGUAAUAUGUGUUCAUCUUGA